rnacentral:rRNA from 1 species
AUUGAACGCUUGCGGCAUGCCUUACACAUGCAAGUCGAACGGCAGCACGGGAGCAAUCCUGGUGGCGAGUGGCGAACGGGUGAGUAAAGUAUCGGAACGUGCCCAGUCGUGGGGGAUAACGUAGCGAAAGUUACGCUAAUACCGCAUACGAUCUAUGGAUGAAAGCGGGGGAGCGCAAGACCUCGCGCGAUUGGAGCGGCCGAUAUCAGAUUAGGUAGUUGGUGGGGUAAAGGCCCACCAAGCCGACGAUCUGUAGCUGGUCUGAGCGGACGACCAGCCACACUGGGACCGAGACACGGCCCAGACUCCUACGGGAGGCAGAAGUGGGGAAUUUUGGACAAUGGGCGAACGCCUGAUCCAGCCGUGCCGCGUGCAGGAUGGAGGCCUUCGGGUUGUAAACUGCUUUUGUACGGAACGAAAAGGACUGCCCUAAUACGGUGGUCCCAUGACGGUACCGUAAGAAUAAGCACCGGCUAACUACGUGCCAGCCGCCGCCGUAA